AUCUGGAUCAAAACUAGCAUGUGGCGAUCUUAAAGGUAAGACUAGCUCAUUUCUUCCACGAGUGGAAAGUGGAGUUUUCAGGUCUUCAGGUAAAUAAGACUCUACGUGGCCAAAUAAGCCCACAGUUCUGGUUGUACAUUAGUCCCCUGCCUUCUCAUCCCCAGUUCUCAUGGGACCCCUGUCUGCUCUGAUCUGUAAGAAUAUUAAUAUCGUCCUGUUUCCACAGCAGUUACAUUGUUGCAAGGAGAAGGGGGGGUACCCAGUGAAGUCCUAUAGACACGAAAUUGUAAGAAAUGUCCAUCCAUAAAUAUUCACUACUUUGUUUUUUUCCCCCUUUUUUGGGGCCAUGCGGGAUCUUAGUGCUCUGAUCAGGGAUCGAACCUGGGCCCCCUGCAGCAGAUGCACAGUUUCAACCACUGUACUGCCAGGAAAGUUCCUUACCCUUCUUAAUUACAUAAAACAUUCUAGAGGACUUGCAUGAGUUCUUAUAAUGAAUGAUAAAGAUAAAAUUAAGAUCUUAUAAUAUGGUCAACUAAUAUUUCUUAAGGGAGCCAAGAACAUAUAAUGAGGAAGGGGUUGUCUCAACAAAAGGUGUUAGGAAAACUGAAUACAGUAGAAAAAUGAAAUGAACCCCUUAUCUUACACCACACACAAAAAGUAACUCGAAGGGGCUCAGACUUAAACCUAAGACCUGAAACUAUCAAAUUCCUAGGAGAAAAAUAUAAGGAGGAAGCCUCUCAACAUUGCUCUUGGCAAUGAUUUUAGGAUAUGACACCAAAAGCACAAAGAGGAAAAAAAAAAAUUAACACGUGGGACUACAUCACAUUUAAACGUUUCUGCGCUGCAAAAUGGACAAUCAACACAACAAAAAGGCAGCCUGCAGAAUGGGAGAAAGAGCUGCACAACCAUGGAGAGAUCUCCCCCACUUUUGGUUUUAAGCCACUUUGCUUUUUCAAAAGGCCUACAUUAGUACCUGAUAUUCCUAGCUGAAAGGAAUCAAGUUUUUCAUUUUUAUGGAAAAAGAUAAAAAGCAGAGACAGUGUUCAGUAUUUGUUUUGCAGCAAGACGUCCUAGGGGCAGCGUCACCUCAAGAGCAAGACUGGCGUUACCAGGCUCCUUCCCCAGGAGCUACACUCUAGCACCUUGGCACCCCACUCUAUGGUCCUCACUGUCUCUGAGCAUCUGUGCUUUAUCCCCAUCCAUCUGGACAUUUUACAAGCAACAUGUGUCCUCAGGUAACUGCUUCUUCACUUUGCUCCACUGGGGCUUUCAGAAGGUUUCACAGGAAAGCUCUGCUUUCAGAGAGUGGGGGAAAUCUGUAUCAGAUAAGGGGUUAACACCCCAAAGUAUAUAAAGAACUGACAUAAUUCAAUGAAGAAAAAAACAAACAGUCCAAUUUUAAAACAGGCAGAGAAACCAAAUAGACAUUUUUCCAAUGAAGACGUUCAAAUGACCAACAGGUACAUGAGAGGUGCUCAGCGUCACUAAUUGUUGCUGUUUGUUGUUGCUGAGGAGAGAGCGGGGGCAGGAGCCCCAGAGCUGCCCCCCAAGCCCCCGAGGCUCUGUCUGGGGACACAGGGUGGGAGGUGGUACAAGCACGGCGCUUCCUGGACUCGGCACCUCCAGCGCGGCACCCGUGGAGAAUCCUCAGGGAAGUUAAUAAACAGAAGCAGAUCGAGGUCAUGGGUUGAGCAGCUCAGAUCCCACCACCAAAGCCUCCUCCAGGAGGGAAAGCAGACCAUGCAGCCAGCCGGGGUCCCCACGGACGGAUGGACAGCAGGACGCUGACUGCAGCACAGAGGCCCUGGUGAGGGCACCCUUAGCACGGACUCCGCAACAACUUAUGAAGAGACAAAGAGUUAAAGAGCAAAUGGGUAACAUCUGAUAAAACAACUACAGGGUCUCUUGCUCCAGAACUAAGACAGCUUAGCGCUCAGCGCCCUGACACCAGGAGGUCAACAUGGCCACUGCACAGGCUCAGCUGAGAAAUCUGUUUUCACUUCCCAGGUUUGCCUACUGACUGCAUGGCUCACAUCCAUGAGACAGGGUCCCAAAAGCCCAUAAACAGUGGGAAUUUUCCACAGCAUACACAAAGGAAUACCCAAUAGGAAGACAAAAACAAAACAAAAUCCCCCAGGAGUUCCAUGGUGGUCCAGUGGCUAAGACUCAGUGCUAUCAAUGCAGGGUGCCUGGGUUCGAUCCCUGGUCAGAGAACGAUAUCCCACAUGCUGCCAACUAAGACUCCCUGCAUGCCACAGUUAAGACCUGGUGCGGCCAAAUAAAUUAAAAAAAGAAAAAAAUUCCCCUAAGACGCUGUGUGGACAGAUGGACAAAGCCCCCUUCCCCCGACCAAGGGAAGCCUUUCACUGGUCUGAACACAAGAGCUGCCCGGAAGGCUGUAGGGACAGCAGCCCAUCAGUCAGCGUGUCACUCACACCCCAGGACGACAGGGGAGUUCCAGAAUGGCAGCUUCCAAACUCUUCUUCUGGGUGACUGCCAUCUCUUAACACUUCUGCUUUUACAGAGGAAAAAACCUCUUUUGCACAGAGCUCAAGGCUUUGCUGAAUAAU
ensembl:lncRNA